GAUGGCACAAAUGGCAGGGAAUCCUCCCCUGGGAGGGCGGGCAGGCCCUGGCACAGGUUGCCCAGAGAAGCUGUGGCUGCCCCUGGAUCCCUGGAAGUGUCCAAGGCCAGGUUGGAUGGGGCUUGGAGCACCCUGGGCUGGUGG